rnacentral:rRNA from 1 species
AUGAGCUCGCGUCUGAUUAGCUAGUUGGAGGGGUAACGGCCUACCAAGGCGACGAUCAGUAGCUGGUCUGAGAGGAUGAUCAGCCACACUGGGACUGAGACACGGCCCAGACUCCUACGGGAGGCAGCAGUGGGGAAUUUUCCGCAAUGGGCGAAAGCCUGACGGAGCAAUACCGCGUGAGGGAGGAAGGCUCUUGGGUUGUAAACCUCUUUUCUCAGGGAAGAAAAUGAUGACGGUCCCUGAGGAAUAAGCAUCGGUAAAUUCCGUGGCAGCAGCCGCGGGAAUACGGAGGAUGCGAGCGUUCUCCGGAAUUUUUGGGCGUA